UGACGAACUGUGAGUAACAGCAUGCUUUUCAAUAUUAUUCAAUAUAUAAAAUUGCUAAAAGUCAAAUAAUUAAUUUGCUGCACCUAUGUACAUUUUGAAUUUAAUGUGGCUAGAAAGACCUGUCUUUAACGGAACGUCUUAUGCGGAAAAAAGUAUAUCUUGCCAUAACGUUCCGAUAACCAAAUCAGGCUGUGCCGGCUGAUCGCACGAAAACUAACAGAGUUGUUGCCUUACCAAUUAUUUCCGAUCCAAUUUUGAGGUUGGGUUGCAAAAAAUAUUUAUAAAGAAGGCAUGUGUUGAAUUGCCCUGGUAGUGCUGAAAUAUUUAUGCCGUUUACUUUUAAUUUCAGCGGGGAAAAUGUUUCUGUUUUAAAAACGGAGAGACGUUGCUUUUAUGAGAACUGGACCACCAAUUUAUAUGUUUUCAAAGGUAAAUCGGAGAAUUUUUGUGAAAGUGAAAGUCGGAACCUGCCUGAUUAUUUUACCAUGACAUAAUUAUUCGGCUAAAAGCCUUCCCGUGGCAGCAUAAAGAGAAGCAUAUCUCGCAUGUUAUCACUUGUUUGCUUCUGCCUUGCGCUCUUAAUUUCUGCAUUCCGACGAGAGCUGUGAAAGAAGCCCAUCGGCCAGGCAGAAAACACAUCUAAACCGAUAGAAGCAAAAACAAAUAAAUUACCUAAUCGAA